rnacentral:rRNA from 1 species
CCUACGGGAGGCAGCAGUGAGGAAUAUUGGUCAAUGGACGAGAGUCUGAACCAGCCAAGCCGCGUGAAGGAUGACUGCCCUAUGGGUUGUAAACUUCUUUUAUAAAGGAAUAAAACGAGGCACGUGUGCCUGUUUGCAUGUACUUUAUGAAUAAGGAUCGGCUAACUCCGUGCCAGCAGCCGCGGUAAUACGGAGGAUCCGAGCGUUAUCCGGAUUUAUUGGGUUUAAAGGGAGCGUAGGUGGGUUGUUAAGUCAGUUGUGAAAGUUUGCGGCUCAACCGUAAAAUUGCAAUUGAUACUGGCAGUCUUGAGUACAGUUGAGGUAGGCGGAAUUCGUGGUGUAGCGGUGAAAUGCUUAGAUAUCACGAAGAACCCCGAUUGCGAAGGCAGCUUACUAAACUGUGACUGACAUUGAUGCUCGAAAGUGUGGGUAUCAAACAGGAUUAGAUACCCCUGUAGUC